rnacentral:rRNA from 1 species
UACAGGGGGGGCAAGCGUUGUUCGGAAUUACUGGGCGUAAAGGGUCUGUAGGUGGCCAACUAAGUCAGACGUGAAAUCCCUCAGCUUAACUGGGGAACUGCGUCUGAUACUGGAUGGCUUGAGUGUGGGAGAGGAAUGCGGAAUUCCAGGUGUAGCGGUGAAAUGCGUAGAUAUCUGGAGGAAUACCGGUGGCGAAGGCGGCAUCCUGGACCGACAUUGACGCUGAGGAGCGAAAGCCAGGGGAGCAAACGGG